rnacentral:rRNA from 1 species
AGUGAACGCUGGCGGUAGGCCUAACACAUGCAAGUCGAACGGCAGCACAGUAAGAGCUUGCUCUUACGGGUGGCGAGUGGCGGACGGGUGAGGAAUACAUCGGAAUCUACUUUUUCGUGGGGGAUAACGUAGGGAAACUUACGCUAAUACCGCAUACGACCUACGGGUGAAAGCAGGGGAUCUUCGGACCUUGCGCGAUUGAAUGAGCCGAUGUCGGAUUAGCUAGUUGGCGGGGUAAAGGCCCACCAAGGCGACGAUCCGUAGCUGGUCUGAGAGGAUGAUCAGCCCCACUGGAACUGAGACACGGUCCAGACUCCUACGGGAGGCCGCAGUGGGGAAUAUUGGACAAUGGGCGCAAGCCUGAUCCAGCCAUACCGCGUCGGUGAAGAAGGCCUUCGGGUUGUAAAGCCCUUUUGUUGGGAAAGAAAAGCAGCAGGUUAAUACCCCGCUGUUCUGACGGUACCCAAAGAAUAAGCACCGGCUAACUUCGUG